CCUCAAGAAGGAACAAAUGAGAAGCUGUUAGUGUGCAUGUGCACAGGCCUUUGGCCUCUGUGGUAUACAGUACAUGUCUUAAGAUCUCUGCACUUAAGAGUUAGUCCACUUUGUUGACUUGGGUGAUGGCUAAAAUGGCUAGCCCUAUGGUAGCCCUAAGUCCUCGGACUACGUUAGAGGGUAAAUCUUACUUAACAGAGACUUUGCUUUGGUUCCACAUGCGUGUGCCUGUGUGCACGGGGACAUGGAAUGACGGAACCCCUGGCAGGCUGAGCAGUGUUAGGGCCAUUGGCACUCCAGCCACCUGGGAGCUGCUCUUAUCAUUAAUGCAACUACUGUCAACACUGUCCCUCAAGAGGACGGAUGAAAACUGUGAAGAAGUGAUCUAUGUACGUAGGCUGCUACUGAAAUUCACAAAACAGGAGCAAAUCAGCCACAGAAUGCUGGGGACUGUAGAGGCCUGCAAUGCCUAUUCCAGUUCCCAUUCUCCUGUCGAGCUAGCCUUUCCCUGUUUAGCAGGCCAGCACCUACUAUAGCCCUAUCGGGUCUGAAAUUUCAGCAGGGUACAGAGCCUGCACACAGGAGAAUCAAAGAGUCAGGAAGGACCCUACCUUUCCAAGGAUAAAGGAGUAAAGCCUGGACCCACGGGGAAGGCAGUCCGCAGACCCCUAUUCACAUGUGCUUUUGCAGCACAGAUUUUCAAAGGUUUGGCUCACACUGCCAAACCUUUCCAGAUGAGAAACGGCCUCACAGGCCUGGGCUAGGCAGCUGAGCCGCCAGCUGCUGGGGCCAAGUGAGGUGAUCAGAACGGACUGCAUGCUGAAGGAGACGGGAUGUCCCUCUGCCGGGAUCCAGCCCGGCCCCAGCCUCAGGCUGAGGACCGUGCCCGCCUCCCAGCCCCCGCUCAAGGAGGCCGCACUGUCUGGGGCAGCACUGCACACUUCCAGCCCCCCAUGCCAUCCUGGUCUUCCCCUACCCGCCUCAUCCGCAGGGCCUUACCCUCUCCCUUUCUGGAGCUGAGCACACUCGCAUGAUUACUAAGACAAACUGGGCUGUCCAGAGUGGCCAUGUGCUUCCCUGGGAAGAAUCUCAACAUCUCCUAAUAAAGCCGUUUCUUUCUACAGCCUCCUAACUUCCCACUGUUAUUUCAUUAUUUCAGUGUCCUCUUAAUAACUAGUACUAAAAUAAAUUGGCCAAGAAUUUGUCUUUGCUGUCAAACAAGACCGACCAAAUGUGGUUGCUUCUUUAAGAUGCAGGACCAUCGGGGCAGACCAAGUCUUACCUCCGAAGGGGAGACACGGGGGCCUUACAGAGUUGCUCUAUAGAUAUAAAACAGGUCAAAUCAAGAUUCUUUUCAAGAAACCACAGGCAUGAGGCUCCGGAGACUGGAGACUUCCCACAUCUAAGGCUUCAGUGGGGGGCUGUGGCUGGGCCGGGCCAGGCGAGCCCCAGCGCAGCCCAACCCACCAGUGAAGUCGGUGUCAUCAAAGCCGGCAAUUACGCUCCCGCUUCAAAGGCGGCGCAGCAGAGCCCAUCGUACAGAUGUUAAGGCUUGGGCUCGGCCGGUGUCCCUUGGCGGGCCAGUCCUCGAGGGUUUGGAGACGGCACACGACAGCCCCCUCUGCCACCUACCCCCACUGGCCAGCUAAAACCUGUGAAGUCUCCUGGACCAAACUCCAAUCUUGACAAAAAGAGGCCACCAGCCAAAUGGAACCUGGAACUCAAAUGGGGAGAGCCCGAGUGGUCAAGGGGCAGCUAAGGAAGACUGCCCGAGUAGCUCGAUUUCUGGGCGAUAAACAGCACUAACUCCUAGGCUUUAGCAAUGUCCAAGCCUCGAUGCAAAAGCAGGGAAAGACGGGAGUUUCCUUCUCUGUACGCUCCAACGUGAGGAGCUGUUGGAAGAUGAGUGCUUCACCAGCCCGCUCCUUGGGGUCCACAGCCCAGCCCUCUGCCCCAGGCUGUCCUCCUGCAGCAGGGGCCAAGGAAACAGGCCCUUUUGUAAGGAUGAGGUGGACUAGAGGAGGGUCAGCUCAAGCUUUCGGGGCCAAGCUGGGGGCAGCAGAGCCGGCCUGUAGGAACCACAGGGGAAGACCGGCCCCCAGCCCCAUGACUCAGGUGAUAUCAUUUCCUUGUUCAGAAAUGCCGAGGAUCCCAAAAAGAUGGGCUGGAACUACAGAUCCUUCUCCCCCCUCCCAAAUGUUACUAGUAAAGAGGAAGAACUUAGUUAUUACCUGAAAUUCGAGGGGAGAGUAGCAGAGAGAAGAGGUGAACAGAGGCAGAUUUUAAUUGCAAAAACUGCCUUAGAGCAGCAUGCCUCACACCUCGCGCCAACUGCCUAAGUCCUGGUGCCUGGCCCAGGGGCAAACUGACAGAAACCUGUUAUUUCAGGACAUGAACUCUCCUGUUGUGCAAUGCCGUGUCUCUGAAGGAGAGUGGCACAGAGGGCUAGAGCAGGCUGCCACAGGACCCAGCGUGACCCGCCCUGGCAUCGCGGAGGACACUGAGGCACGUGGUCAUUAAAUGAUCGGUCCAAGGGGACCCCUGGAGAGAACCCAGGCCUCCUGGGCCCAUGGGGGUCACAGCCUCAUGGCUUUCCUUGUGACUUAGGGGUGGCCUUGUGUGCAUGCUGGUGAGGGAGAAGGAAGGAAAACCAUGUCCGGUGAGUCCUGAUGUGCCAGACACCAGGACACAUACCUGGUAUGCACGGUGUCCUGUCAUCACAAUGGCUCCCUGAAUUCUUGCCCAUUUACAAAUCAGGAAAUGGGGUGCUGUGUGAGGUUGAACAAACUGACCUAAGGUCACCCAACCUCUGGGUGGCAGCAUUUGUUCUUGAGCCCUAAAUACAUAGCUUCUGCACCAUAUCUUGGAGCUAAAUUAUCAUUCACUUUCUUUUUCUCUCCUGCCUACCUUCCACCCACCCGUCUGUUCCCAGUCCACAGCACGGUGGAGGUGGUGUGCAUUGAGCUCACUGCCCAGCCCAAGACGUUACGGCCUGCUGGAAAGCAGGAUGCUACUGAGAACAAAGGGCAUAAGACGUUAACUCUGAAAUUUAAAUUCUCCUCUAAGAUGGAAAGUGUAACCUAUAAAAACCAACUCCAGCUCCUUGUAGAUGAACACUGCUCGGAUUUUGGAAAAAGGGAAAAAUGAUCAUACACGGUGAGGAAGGCGGCACGGAUCUCCUUUCUGCAGCUGAGGUCAGCGGAGUCCCAGCCGGGGAGACCGGCCAGUCGGCUAGCCACAGGCUCGGAUGCGGGUCGAUCCCCAGGACUGGUUGGAAGGGGUGGGAGGAAGGGAGCAGCGUGAGGAUGUGUCUUUGGGCCUGUGCUUGGGUCCAUGUUCUACAGACGGAGGCAGGGGCACUGGAUGCAUGCAGUUACCACUCUCCCCACCCCCACGGGUUAUUCAAAGUGAGCGUCAACGAAAGCAGACUUUGCAGUGUUGAGAAGACCCUGAGGCAGGCCCAGGACCAUUACUAACUUCUCUGGGGGGAGAUCUCUAGCUGCUGCGACCGGUUUCUGUUGCACCUGCUCUGUGGGCACACAGAUCACAUCAGGGGGCUGUGCCUCCCAGGGCAGGUCCUCCAGAGCCUUGCUGCUUCUGGAAACAAUACAGAGAACUUCUCGAAUAAAGGGUGGAAUAAGAGAGCCUCAAAACUUCAUUUGAGUUCUAUAAAUUGAAGUGCUUGAGGAAGACAGUAACUAGGUAGACCCACCUUAUGCUCCCACCUCCAACUUCUUUAUCCAAUUCACAUUUUUCUGUACGUCUCCCCACCAAAGAUGCUAACUUCACCUUCUAAACAUGAAGCAACAGAAUCAGCACAUCCUUGUUUUUUUUUCCUUUUCAGACCCAGAUUUCCCUGUUAAACACCUGUGAGUGUGUGCAGGUACUCAGGUGUCUCGGCACGGGGGCCUGGGGAGGCACCAGUGUGCUGUGGGCUCUGGGCAGAGCUCUGAGGACAGCUCUGGGCUGGGUCUGAACACUGGCUACAGCGUACUACCCCAUCAUCUCAGGUAAGUUACCAGAACGUAUCAGUUUCCUUAUCUGCAAAAUGGAAACAGUAAGCUCCCCCUUCAUGAAGGAGGUCGUGUGUACGGUGGGCGGGCAAGUGUUUGGCAUCUGCAGGACAUAAUAAAGGUUCGUUACUGCAGCAGGUGCAGACUGGGGGGCAGAGACCGACCAACCCAGGCUGGAGCCUGACCCUGGUGCACGGUGGUCGCGGGGCCCUGCUCCUAUUCCUGGGGUUUGCUCACCAGCCUGCAGGCCUGAGGUCUCCCCUGCCCAGGGCUGGCCCAAGACGGCACGAGGGACCCCAAGCAGGGGCAUCUCUCAGAGCAUCCGGGACACAGAAUGUGGUCCAGAAAUGUCUGUUCUAUUCCUGAGGCUCCCAACCUCAACAUGUUUGAGGUAAUAUGCAAGAUUCAUACUAUUUAUAGAACUUCGGGUGGAGAAUUAAGACCGGUAGAAGAGUUCUGUAAAAUGUCUCUUAGGAAAUAUAAAAUAUCUCCAGCAACACAAUAAUUGAGAAAAGUAAUCCCAAAAGGGCAGCAAAAAUUUGUUAUUAUUCUCAAAGAACAGACCUAAAAUUUUAGAAAGUGUCAGGUUAGUACGAAUUAAAACUUAAGUGAAAAGGUGAGCAGUAUUGUCCCACUGAAAUGCUCUCAUUUUUCACUCUUUCUGCCAAAAAGAACCAAGCUCACGGAUGUUGUAAAGCAGGGUCCCCCUCACUCAUACGGAUCUCAGUUAGCUGGCAGCUUCAGUCCUAAAGAAGACAGUUGAGGAAAGCAAGCAGAAAAAAAAAAAAAAAAAAAAGCCUCAAGCUGUCACAGUGCUAUCGCAAAAUUCAGACACAAACCCAGCACACUUUACCUUUCCUUGCAAGAGGGACCUCCACAUCCCAACUCAGAGCCCAUCUACUUUUAACUCACAAAUCAUUCAAAUAAGCUUCUUUUCCUUGUUCCUGAAUCUACACAACAGACCAGAGGAACCUAUUACUGUAGGGGACCACAGAGUCCCCGAUGACUAAGACGUGUAAAUUAUGAAGAGCAGAUUUCUUAAAAUCCCACCUUACUUGCGAUCACUUAGCACAGUGGCAAACAGCACCCAUUCCUUGUUAGCAUACACUACGUGCUCUGUAAAAUAACAGCAGAGAGUAUUAAGAAAUACUUAAUUUUCAUGUACUCUGUUGAAAGAGAUUGAGGUUGCACUCAAGAGUUAAACAAAUUACAUGUUUUCAUACUUAAAGUAGUAAACCCAGAGUUCUCUGGGAAACCAUUACCCAGAAGGCUCAUUUCUUCAACAGUUCCAGAUGGCUCAUUGAGAAAACCAUUCUUUUUAAACCAAAUUUGUCCAAAAUAAUUUUCUUGUUCUAUAAACUAUUCUUAAGUGCAUUGAUCUUAAUUCAAUUGCACGCUCUUUCAUGAAUAAUACUAAAUAUUCCAGGUCUCAAGAGGGUUUAAAGGAGCCUCUUCCUCUCCUAUUAUUUGCUAAUGGCAUGUGACCAACCUUGGUAGCCGAGGGUCCCGUUCCCUGUUUGUUUCCCCAGGCAACUUCAACACGAUUCCAGCUCUCCUGACCAUGAAAGAGGGGAGAGGAGACAGAAAGGAUGCUGCAGCACAGGAGAGAUUUCUAAAAGCUCUCACCUGUGCCUUCACUUGGGCAGGGUUGGCGAGAGACGAUCACCCUGUCUGCUGCUCUGGCAGACCCCAGCCAGCUGCUUCCCAGUGAGCGGUAGGAGACACAUGUGGGGUUGCUGCCUAACUCCCCUCUGGACUGUCCCAACUCCAGUACAGCCGUGAUGAGAGCGAUGUGCCCCAACGUGACCCUCCCCUGUGGCUACAGCUGAUGAUGGGUUAAGGCCGAAGUGUGACCCACGCUGGGCUUAGCGGAGUCCCUCCCCUGGAAUUGGAAUCAUCUCUUUGGGACACGGAUGCGAACAAUGUGAAAGCUUGGGAGUUCUGGACAUGUGGAUCAAAGAACUGAGGAAGUCAAUCUACAGAAGGGAGGAGGAAGCAGUUCUGGGGGACAGAUGUAAGAACAGGCCCUCUUCUAGUCCUCUCCCUGGGCCACAUGCACUGCUGUCUUGGCUCCCACAAGAUGCUCCUGCAUCCUUGCAGUGGACUUCCCCAUUCUCCUUAUUCCAGCAUGGACUGUCUCUUCUUGCCAUCAAAGGCUUCCAUCAUAUGAGUCAGUAUAAAGUGUCCUAGAGAAUGGUCAGAAUUGGAAAACCUACAUUCAACACAGCAGAGUCCAGCCACACAGUGUCAUGAUGCGGCCAUCUCUCCCUUCAGGACAGUGUGCUCAAGCCUGCCCCUCCUGCCAAACGUCUGGAUUUUCCUUCCUGAAUGUUAUUAUUACAGAGUUCCUAGUAAGAGACAUCGUAAUCAAGUGUCAUUGCCUUGUGACUCCUCUACAAGGUUUCUACGAACUUGUGACAAGUUUAGCAGGAAUUUGUAGACAAACAUAUAAGGAAGGAAGUCACAAGAAGGCUGCUGCCUCAGACAGAGAAGGCGUCAUUCGGGAGCCUCUCCAGCCCGCCAAGAUCUCCAUCUUCUAGGAGAGCAGCCUGCCAACCGUGACAUGACAGAUGCCACAUCAAAUGUCAUACCAGCAGCCACUUGGCAAGAUCCCAGGCAGGAGGCUCCUCUCUGCUCUCGCCUGCUGCCCCUCGCCAGCCGGGCCUACUGCAGGGGAGCACUGGGCCCACGUGAGCAGGGUAGCCCCUGGUGCCCGAUGGAGGCAGCACAGCCAUGUCUGCCGCUGCUGCUCUGUCCACAGGGGUCCUCUCCAUCUGAUGGCCCUUCGACUCCAGGCCUUUGGCUAACUUCCUCAGAGCCCCAGCACGUCUCCUGCUUGUUCAGUGACAAUUCUAAGUGCUUAACAGACUUACUGCCAAGCACGUGACAAAAAGAUAAAAAAUGGAAGGCAGGGUGUCAUUUUUUUCACUUUCCCAUUUUCAAAGCCUUAAUUUUUACUUUGAAACUGGACGAGGCUAAGAUUCCUCUGUUUCUGACCUUCUUAUUUUGUAAGGGCUUGGCUUUGCUUUCUAACUGACGGGUCAACCAGAAAAAUUCCUGGAGGCUUACUGAUUCCUAAUGACUAUAUCUGCUCUUGGGGCACAGAAGUCAGAGCAAAGAUGAGGCAGAAGGGGCAAACUCACCAGGACAAGCAUCAAAAACUUUUUCUCAACGAGACCACUAAACACAGACCGCUCCCCGACUCCAGGAAGGCACAGGCUCUGGAAGACCUUCUUCAGGCCUCAGCCCCAUGGCCAGUCCUGAAGGGGCCUCCAGCCCCACGCUGAGCUCUGUAGGGAGGCUGGGUAAGCCCCUGCGGCCCCAGGUCCCCAGGCCUCCAUUAACAGCUCACCAGGCUCCCCAACAUCACCCACCAAUGGAAAGUUAGAGUUUUUAGAAGACGUAAAUCCAAGCGCUGCACAGUCAACUGCUAUAUUGUCUACGGCACUAGAAAUUACCUCUUCCACACACCUCUUGGCCCCAGGGAUAUAAGGCGGAAGUAAGAAACAGAGUUUUCUCAGUUUGUCAAUUAUGCAAGGUAGAGAUUACACCAAAGUCAAAAAGCUAUGUUUUGCAAGUAUGUUUACAUAUGGGUGCCUGUGUGUAUCUCUGUGUGUUUCUAUUCUAGAUAGCUGGUUCUUUCUCUUCAGCUAGCUCACUGAUGUUAUAUAAUCAAGUAUGCUGAGGUAUCAUAAAAAAAAUGUCUUUUCAGUCUAUGUGAUUUUAAGAUGGGAUGUUUGUAUUUGUUUUGUUAAAGUAAAUGUUAAUAAGCCAUUUAGGUUUUUAAGUUGGUAAACUUGGGAGUGAUAGUUCUCUCCAGCCUUUUCAAAAAUGCAAAUUCUUUGCUUCUUUAACUCCUUAGGAAUCUUGAUUAAGUCAGGAAGAAAGGGAAGUUCAGUAUUUGAUGAGGAUCUUGGACUUCCGACAAAUGCUUGAGAUGUUACAUUCUCCAAAUAAACUUGUAUGGAAACACUGGAAACUCCCGGCAACGCGAUCACUGUUUUGUCAAACCCAAGAAUUCCCCUCAUGACCAGACAGCUCAAUGGUUACUUACUCCAGGAAGCCUUCCUUGACUCACUCUGAUUUAGAUACUUCUUAUUCUAUUUUAGCAUAAGGCAUCCCUCUCCUUUAUAGCAUAAAAUGUUUUUAUAAUUACUUAUUUUUAGGUCUUCACCUUCUUAAAUUGAAAGCUCCUCCAGGAAGAGUCCAUGGAAAGAGUCCAUUUAGCAAGUAUCCCCACUGCCUAGUGCAGUCCCUGCCUUGCCAGUGGUCCUCGCGAUGUCUGAAGAACAAAGAAGUGAUAGCAUUUACAAUAGUGGCCUUCCAGGUGCACACAGAGAAUGUGUGCAGACUCCUUCCCCAGGGCGCUGGGCUUCCAGCAUUCUGACAAGUGACAAGUUACUCCUAAAAGCUAAGGAUGAAUCUGGCUUUUUUGAAAAACUACCCAGCUUGGGAAUGUCUAACCUCUAACCUGGAAGAAUGUCAUUCAUGGAGCCCAUUUCCAAUUAUCCUAAAAGUUGUUGAAGAGCACUGAGAUUCGGUUGAUACUCAUUUGUUUCAACUGGAUUUCACCAGAGUGGGUGUGUUUAUAAAGCCUGGAAGUAGAAACACAUGGAAAUACAGGGACACGCUGGGUGUAUGAGGAACUGCUCACGGGCUAGUUUCUACGUCGGCCCGCAAUGGGGCACCUGCAAUGAUAUUUCCCACCAGAAAAUGAAAGCAUCAGAUGAAACAUGUAUCUUGUAAGAAGAGAAAUGCAAGUUUUGGGGAGUGUGUUUCUGUUCACUGAGGAGAGCCUUUCCGUAUUAAGUGGGGGGUAUUUUCCUUACUGUAACUAGUCCUGCACUAGUUCAGAAGAAUGGGAAUUCUCUAGCCUUGGUGAGACACGCGUGGCCACCUGAGCUCAAAGAGCUAAUGCAACAGGACAGCAAGAUAAUGUUAAGUUUCAUUGUGUAGCUAGAUAAAGAAACCCUCUCACAAAAUCUCUGCAUGCCGAAGUCACAGGAUGUUCCCCUCCUGGGCAUGAGGUUCCAGCAGCUCUGCCUCACGGAGGAGGAGACUUAGCUAAUGCUCAGCACCUUCCCUCCAGACCCAAAACCAGUCUUGGGAGAUUUAACUCCUCAUUGUUGGCAGGAUUAGCUCUAAUCGAACAUCUGAUCUGGGCUUUGCUUGUUCCGACUGGGAAGCCAGCACUUGUGUGGCUGUAGUCUGGCAAACGAGGCUCCAGAGGCUCACGUUAGUGGGGAAUCCAACCCCCAAACUAGAGGGAGUGUUUCUGAGGCGCCCGCGGGGGAGAGGCAGGAAGGCAGGAGGUAACCUACACAGAACUGAAAAUCAGCCACACUGUCUACAUGUCAUUUUCCAGAUCAGACUGCUACUUUGACAGAACCACUCAGAGAACAAGGACUACAAAUCAGUAAAUACAAGAGACCCAAGUCACUUCGACGACACUGGGAGGCAGUGCAGACCAUGGCAGAGCUAAACAGGUCUGGCAGCUGGGAGGCCCCGGAUAGCUGGGAGCCCAGAGGCCUCAGGACCCAGGGAGGAACCCAGGUCUCCCGGCUUUUAAGGACUUACCCCCAGGCCUCACAUGGUUGGGGAGGGUAGGAGGGGCUUUCCAGAGCCUGGGUGGCCUCUUCCCAGUCUAAGCCCUUUCCACAGAGCAAUGUUCGGCUCCCCACGUCUUUCAUUUCUCUGCCACUGCUCUAUUCCAGAAUCACACACACAAUACCCUCCAUUUUUCAGGGAUAACCAGCUAUCACCUUCUCAGAAGAGCCUUUCCUGACCACCCCACCUAAAGCAGACCCCCUAGUCAGUCCCUGUUUUAUUUUUAUGACCGCGCUCAUACUGUCCUGUUAAUGCAGUAACUGCCCUCAGCCACGUAAGCACUGCGAGAGCCUCGCUCAGCACGAUCUUCCAGGUCUUACGACGCUGUCUGGCAUCUGUUAGAGGUGCUCGUAACCACUCGCUAACCAGCUCGCUAAGUGCUGACCACUGAGGAAACAAGUCAACUGCCUUACGUACAGAAGUUUCUGAAUUCCCAGAACAAAGGGGAGUGGUGAUGGCAGGAACAGUAUCAUUCUUAAUUUACUACAAUUUUUAUGAAUGCAAAUCAGGAGCUCCUCCCUGCAGUUCUUAUCAACUGGCUGGCAGUGCUGCUCUCUGAAAGGAGGCCAGUGGCUUCAAAAGCUGCAGGAUCAGCCCAGCAACGGCAACAAGAACAACACUACAGACUCUGAUAACGUGAAGGACACCAGCAAGCCAAAGCAGCUGCUGAGACUGGGGCAGAGGUGGGUACACAGGGGAGGCACUUUGUCUUUCUGGGAUAGGGUAGAAGGAGCACCUUCACUUCUAGAAAAAAAUAAGUGACAAGAAAGCACAGUGACAGCUGUGACAUUACAAGAUGUCUGAGAUACACUAGGACAAAAUACACUUUGCCUAAUCUUGUCUAAAAUACUACAUAAUGUUGAUUAAGGACACAAAACCAAAUACCAAACUGUAUAGAAACCUGUUUCUGCAUGAUUUUUGACAGAAAUAGUGUUAAAGAUUUUGGAGUGACCGUAGGUCCUCAGGACACUGUACUUGGGAGGGUUGUCCACUGAGAAGCAGAGCAUGGAACGGCUGCUGCCCAUACCUAAGUGUUCAGUAAUUAAAAGGACAACAUUCUCUAAUUCCAUUUAGUGGCUAUUAAUGGAGGACCUUUUCUGAUCUGGCUUCCCAGCUGGGUCAUUAGGGACCCAGAGGGGACAGUUGCAGGCCCUGUGUCAUAGUAGAGGUAAUUCUAGUAGCAAGUAUGUACACAUGCUUUUUGCAUUUGAUUUUUGCAUUCUCUUUUUUUUAAACAUGGAUAUCGUCUGUGAUACCAGUUUUCAGGUAUCUUACUUGGUCAUCUGUAUGAAGGGAAGAUCCUCUUUUCAGAGAAAAGGCUACCCCUCAGCUUAGAAGAGUUUUGAUAUCAUAAAACUACAAUGAUGGCAUUUUGAAGAACCUGGGGAAUCGGACUCAAGAUCAGGAACGUUUCACAGAGGAGAGGGCAACUGGGUUAGGUCUCAGUGAGCGAUGGAGGGAAGAAGGCAGGCAUAUAAGGUACAUGAACAACCACUGGCGGUGGGUAUUACUCCCAUUUCACAGUUGAGAAAAGUGGACAGUGAAUAAAUAGCUCGAGGAGACGACCCAGGCAAACAGCUGAUUGGAAAUUCCUAUCUAUCUGGUACCAAAAUGUCAAUAAGCUUCUCUGGGAAAGUCCAUUGAAAUUUCAGCACCAAAAUGGAGUUCUAAAAUAUUAAGUGGGGGUCAUGUGGUUCUAGCCAAGAACCCAAUGAUCUGAAGGUCUCUUCUCAUAAACACUGCAUACCCACCCUUCCUUCCUUGGAAGAGGAAGGGAGCUUUGCAAUCAAGGGACAGCAUGUGCGGCAGCAGCGGUAUGUGAGGGGAACUGCUAAUAAUCUUGUUUGGACUGAGCCCAGGACUCUUGAUGGCUAGGAUGGAGGCGAGGAAGAGAGACCAAAGGGAGAGGCCAAGAGAGGGUACAGGUAGAAAGAACCACACUAGCUGGUUUGCACUUUAUCUUCCAGACAAUAAAAAGCACUGUGUUUUAGCAAAUCCCUCUUGGAGCAACAUGGAGGCUGGAUUGGCAGAAAAGUAGCUGGAGGUGGGAAAAUUAUCCAAAGGCUAUUCCAGUAAUCCAGACAGACAGUAAAGUGGGGGUGGGGGCCAUGAUGAGAGGAAGGACUCAACCAACACAGGCCAUGAGGACAGACCCGACGGAACCUCGAUGUGGGCAGCUGGAGAGGGAGCAGAACUGAAGGUAGCUCCUUAGGGAGCAGGUUGUCACUGGAAAACAUGUCAAUGUAUAUGAAUUCAAAGCUCAGCAUAACUAAGUCACCUUACAAAGCCAGGUUCCCACCAGGGCUGGUGGCCAGUUGGUCAAAAAUAUGGUCACUACAGUAAACAAAAACAACUAAACAUCACCUAUGAAUACUUGACUGGGAUCCAGCAAUGCUCACCAGUAAAGAAAAGAGCCUGAUUGCAGAAUACAGUUAAUCAAGUCUCCAUGCCAUAUUUUUAAAUAAUAGAAAAAGUACAUAAAGCUCCUCUUUCUCACUAGAAGUAGAUUACUUUUAAGUAUCUACAUAUCAUCUCCACUGAAAAGAAGUCUCUAGAGCAAGCCCUUCUGAGUCCUGGGCUGGAAUGGGUCUGGGCGCCUCACACACAGCCCUGGGCUUGCAGAGUAAGUAAGAGGCCUUGGUGGUUUUGUUGUUUUUUGUCCUUCCGCAGGCAGAUUUGCCAUUGGUCAGUAAGGAACAGCUGAGAAGAGUUAGGGGAAAGGGAAAGAAGAAAGAUUAAAGGGGCAAGAGGGGAAGGAAGAAAAGAAAAGAGAAACACACACUGUAUUACAAAAACAUAGCCGGUAUAAAAACCAUCCGAUUUUUUAAAAGCACUAAUUGGAUUUUGAUGGGAGUUUCCUUUUUAAAGGAGCAGUGUUGAAUGCAUCAGCGCGAGCAAGGAGGUUCACAAGCAAGUUGCCUUUGUUUAUAACUAACGUCAGCAGGAGGACCAGAGAAUCAUUCUUACCAUGUUUCAGAUGUAGGCAGCUGUCAUUCUUGGACCUGUACCUGCAGAAAAUUGUGUCUUUAACAAAUUUUUAUUGAAGCGGUUUUUUGUACAUUCCAAAUACGUAGUAGCUACAACAUCAUGUGGACUCAUUUGCUUUACUUUUUGUGGUUCUUAUACCAGCCGUUUUUAUUUGUGCAGUACAAGUAGUGGCCUGCCUUUUAACGAAAGAAAAAGUAAUAAACAGGACCUCACUGGUUGAUGCCUUGAAUUAACGUCCAGGAAACUGUUGUCAUGUUUUGUAAUUUCAGAAAACCCAAACCACAGAAAAGAUUCUCAGGGACACAUAAAGUAGUGUACUACAAAAUCAGAACAGAUGCUGUCACUGUGAGGGGCUGUGGAGACAGAAGCUCAGCAGAAGUGUCAGGACAGAGACAACGACAGCAACAACGAGACACAGGCUACUGCAGUCAACAACCAGGAUUCUGGGGACAGGGUUUGGGGAAGGAGCGCUCAGACGUACCUUCACACAGUCACAUUUAAAAGAAAGGUCUUUUAGACAUUUUUAAAGACUGUCAGGAAGGAAAGCAGAGUUUAGAAAACCACGGGUUACAGGUGCAGAAGAUACAGACUGCUUUAGAAGGUGUUUGUUGCACGCAGGAGAGCGGGCUGGGAGGUCACAUGGUAUGCCUACCUGACGUCGAUUCCUGGAGCUUCUCUCUCUUCCUCUUCUUCUUCUUACCCUGGAAGGAGAUGGACACACGGUCACGUUAGAGACUGGGCUGUGAUCACAGGCAUGAAGGGACACAACGGUACAAAAGGCAGACAGGCAACAAAGAGACAGAAGUGCCUCAUUCUCACUCUUUAAUUGACCAUCUACACCUAGAAACAGCAAAAGAGAGAAAUUCUUCCCUCUUUGUGACCUUUGACUCCCCUGCUUCGUAUUUUACUAUCAAAACUGACAAUGGAAGUGGUCUCCCACGUACACACUACGGUAGUGUUGUCCUAGGCCUGUGACCACAGAUGCCCACUCAAGCCAAGCCCACUUACGGAGGUGUUCUGUUAUCAACUGCCACACUCGGAACCCACUUCUGGUAGUGUUCAUGAUAAAGCUCCCUUCCUCUCAAUUCCACCAUGUCAUUAAAAAUUCACGAUUUUAGGUGAAGACCCUUAGCCCCCAUGGCACAGGCAUGACAUCAUCAAGGAUAGCGGCACAAAGGGGAAUCCCACAAUCAAGUUAUGCCACACAAUUUCCUUUAAAAAUUCUGCAGAAGAACAUCUUUAAAGAUGGCAGAAGAGCAAGUGCUGCAGAAGUCCACUUGGGAGUCUGGCAGCGAGAGUGAAACGCAAACUUUGGUCUCUAUUCUGUUCUCCCAGAUCGCAUGAAACACAUCAAAGGCAAUUAAAUAUCCAAAGUAAUAUGAUCUGUCCCCCACCCUUCCUCUUUUCCAGUAUAAAUUAGAAAGAACUUUCACUGAUGAACCUCAACACCUGACUUGGUGCUUUUUCAGUCUGUACUAUAUUCUGGUAUUUGAAACCAAGUACCAUUUAUUUAUGCAAAAUGUGAUCAUGUCCAGAUGUCUUUUCCACGCAGAUGCAUCUUCACCUUACAAGGAUAAUGCACAUCUGUCAUAUAGAGAGUCUGAGACCUUCUUCCUAAGACCUCAGGAUCAGGGAUCUGACCUCAAGAACACUGGAGCACCUUCUGCCACACCCCACCCUCCCACUCCAGCUUCCCAUUGCGUGGUGCCCAAGGGCCCAGCAGCGGAUUCAGUUCCUCCAGAAACCCCAGAACGGCUGGGCCUCUGUGUUGGGAUAGGACAGAUGGCUUCUUUUUCAAUCGCUUUAGAAGUACAGUGUCAAGUAGUUAAGAAGCAGGACACACACAGCAGGACUUGGGUCCGAACCCGAAGGCAAAUCAGGAAUCGAUAAUACAAGAAAGCUUGCUGCCCCCCAUCUGUUCACAUGGCCUGGUAAUCUCCUGCAUGUCUUCCAUUAUGAAUGCUGAAAUUUAUUAGGUUUGUAUCAAACAUGGUAAAAAUUAACCACAACAACAGCUAAAACACAAUCAUCUAAGUUUUACAAAGACUGUUAGGCCUUCCUCACCUAAAUGUUCAUUAACGAAUCAUGAAUUCCUUGAGAGGUUGCAAAAACAAAUAUAGGAGUUCAUAACUGAAGUAACUAUCACACACAUAUGAAGAGCAUCAACAAUUAAAAUGAAGCAUUUCUAAAAUUAUAAUGUAAUAUUAGAAAGACUCCAAUUUUUUCCACCACUCCUCAGAUAUCCGAUAUUUUAAAACCAUUUCUAUCCCAAGAAAAGCUCCUGGAAAGACUUAAUAGCCUCUGGGCUGGUGGAUGGAUAAAGAAAUCUCAAGAGUGUCUGUCCUGGUUGUAGCCUAGAGCCUGCUAUACAGCAGGUGAUCUGAAAAGUAUCUUGGCAUGAGUUAAAGAAGGAAUGAACAGAAAAGGGGCAAGGCAGAAACCAUGCACCUAUAUACACUUUAAGACCCAGAGAGCAAUUUUUCUAGAAUAAAGAACUUCUAUGACCCAUAUAAAUUCUUCCUUAAAGCUUCUGAGUAGAGCAGAUCUACUUCUGUCUCGGGAGGGGUGGCCCCCUGUGUUUGCCUGGGUGUUUCCAGAAGCGUGGCUGGUACUGCAAGGCCUUCCUAUAGUUCCCUAUGUGGGCCAAGUGCUUUCUUGCUUCAGACAUGAAUGCACACACAACUAUCACUCCAUCUGGGGAGGGCCCACCUCCCACCACUAGUCAUGCGGUUAAUUUCUACUCCUUACUCAGGUCUCAGCUUUAAUACCAUCUUCCUAGAGGGGCACUUCCCUAGCUCCCUAUUAUUCUUUCUCAUAGAAUCUUACUCUUGACAUUCACAGCAUUUCUCACAGUUUUAAUUAUACACCAGGUAAUUAUCUGUCUAGCAUCUGUAUCCUCUCAGAAGACAUUAAGCUCCAUGAAGACAAGGACCCGAUCUAUUUUAUUCAGCAGUUAUUAUCUAAUGCCUACCAGAGUACCUGGCACAUAAAGACACCCAAUAAAAGAUAACAGGGAAAACAGUUAACAUUUACAGGAGGUUUUCUAUGUGCUAGGUACAAUCUAAACUGUUAACCAUGCAUUCUAUCGUUUAAUCCCCCUAAAGAUUAUUAUCCUAUCUUCUGUUACUUCCCAAAGUGGCUGUGAUUAUACAAAUGCAUUCUAUGACCACCUUUAACAAGACAGUCCAAGGUCGUCAUAAACAUUUCCAUCCCACCCUACUACUUACCCUUCUGCCAAGAAUCUGGUUGAUAGCUGCGCUUUCUUUUAAGGUACACUCAGCGACGACAUUCGCUCUCAUUUCUUUCAUGUAUAACAUAAAAGCAUUCAGAGGCUUCUUAAUGUGAGGUCUUUUUGGCUCCUGUUCCUUUCUCUGUUCAUGCUGAGGCUUCCUAAAAGGUGGUUGGGAUGGUAAGGGGGUGGGGAGGGAGAGACAGGGGAAGCAGAGCAUCGCUCAUGUCACCAGACAAAAACUCAGGCCGGGGACAAUCCUCUAAGAGCUCUACAAGCACCCAGAAGAGCAUCGGGUCAGAAAAACAACUCAGGAGGAGCAAAGAUCCUUUGGUCUGACAAAGUUGACCUAUAGCCAUGCAAGUGUUUGACGCCAAAUGGGCCUGAGCCCGUGCUCCUUGGUCACCUCAAGAAAAGCUGAACACAAAGUAUGGGUGGUUAUUCCUCUUUCAGAACUGAUGUUCUGAGCUUCUUCCGUCAAGGGUCCCUCUGAGAGCCUAAUGAAACUCUCCCCUAAGCAAGUGCAUGUUGGCUUUGCCUGCAUGUGCUGGGGUUUUCUGCACCGAUGCCCGCUGCGACCCCAUCCUCCCGCCCCCGUCUACAGACCCUAGAUUAAGGAAUUCAAUUACUGAUCUCUUUAGGAAAUUUAGUCCUGGUAUAACAUCCUGAGAAAAGCCUGGCCUGAUAGGGGAUCCUGGGCUUGGUCUGCCCCUUUCCCUUGAAUUCUGUGCUUUUGAAGCCUAAAGCAUGGUUAAGUGCAUGUCCAGAAGGAAAUGCAGGGAGCCGUCCCGUCUACUUCCCUCCGGUACCAUCGGGUGCAACAAUCAGAACCCAAUUAAAACCUGGCACUGAACUGCUAAACAGCUCAAGAUUAUUCAAUUCCCACACUUGGAAGAUUGCUCCGUUUUGGUGCAGGUCCCUUGAUUUUUUGAGGUCCAUGCUUCAUUCCAAUCUUAAAAUUAGUGCAGUGAGAAUCAAGCUGCUUAAAGUCCUCAGGGGCAGUACUAUCAAGGCAGAGACACACUGAUUUUCGUAAUAAAAGAGAGGGAGGAAGUGUUCAACAACAGCAAGCAGAAGCUGUGUUUAAGUCCUCAGUCUGUUCAGGUGCUCACAGGUGAAACCAGAGGCGUACUCACACGUGCAUUAAGUCGCUGUCAGUGUGGGGGUGCUCCUGUUUGACCUGAGGUGUUACAAUAGCUGGAUGAGGGAUGCCAGUUGUGUGGGGACCAGGAGGACCAGGAAUCAUGUGAUGGGAAAACCUGAAAGAAGGAAAGAAAGGAAAAUAUGUACUAGUGGCUGUUGCAGCAAAAAGGAGGCAGAAUUCUUAAACAAUCCACUAACUGCUAUUGGCUGAAAGUGAAAACACACCUUUAUACAUCGGAGAAAUAACUAUGAAUCAGAGUGGGCCAAUAAUUAAUUUCUCUCUGUAUUCAAGUGGAAACAUUUAUACUUAUUCCUUGUAUAACAGAAUUUUUUCCCAAACUAACAGAAUCAGACAUUUUUCCUGGGAGGACUCUAGAGCAUAGGUUUAAAAAAAAAAAAAAAGAGUCAAUUUUCUUGCAAAGCAGUUUUCAGAGAAGAAUUUCAGUAAUUACUGGAAACAUACUUUAUUAAGAUUUAGCUUUUUAAAUGAUUUUUAAAUGAAAGCUGAAGACACCACAUUAAAAUAUCUCUGCCUAAGCAAACUGUCAAAUUAAGUCUUCUCAAAUGGCUGGCUUCUUUAUUGAUAUCUGGAGAGAACAACUGAGAAAAUAAGGCACAGGAAGUUUAUUUUCAGUCCCUAAUUUAAUAAAGCUGCCAUCAGCUUCUUCUAAAAUAAUCUUCUAUACGGAAAGAAAGUACUAUUUGAGAGAUCUAGUCUUAUGAAAAACAGAUAAUAAAAUUAAGGGAAGGGUACAGUUCGCCAUCAGGUAAAAACUGCACAUGCUAAAGGCUUUUCUCCCAAGUACACUUGGUAGAGCAUUAAAAAAAUCUUAAACUGUCCCCCACCAUACAGUGCAAAGAAGGGCAACUGCCAUGCAAGAAAAAAAUAAAAAUAAAAAUAAAUGCUUUGGAUAAAUUUUAAUAGCUUUAGAAAUUUGUGUGUUUCAAAUGGAUUGACUGAUUGACUUGCAGGCUCCACACACAACGACCUGAGAACUCGAAACCCUGAGAUCAAGCUCUGCAUGCUCUACCAACUGGGCCAACUAGGUGCCCGGCUUUUCCAACUGUUUUAAGGUGAAUAUCUAAUUCAACAAGAACAGUGUUCUCAGGUCUUUUAUCGCAGCAGCAUGAUUAAUCUCUGCAUCUGGGAAGCAAAGAAGGAACUCUGCUUGGAUCAGAAACAAAUUUUUAAACAUUAAGGAGGCAUGGGAAAAAUACAAAUAUUUUGAUUAAGCAGUGAUGCUCUGCUACGUGUACCAUUUGCAAAGACACAUGAUGCUGUUCUUUGCAUGGGGGGAAAUCCUGUCACCAGAGAGUUCUCGCAACGUUAAAAGGUGUGAAAAUACAUUUGGGAGGAAGGAUAUUAAUUUUAUCUCCUCCAACCGACUACAUUUGCAAUUUGCUGAGCAAAUAAUGAUUUUUUAAAAAGCUGAAAUUCACCACAGAAAUUGUGAAUUUCAUACCAAAUAAUCAAAAGUGAAGAUUCCCAACCAAUUACUAGCCCAGUAGUUUAACUUCCAGCACAAUGAUGCUAGCUCCCCUGAACAAGCCACAUGGGACAAACAGAUGAUGCACAACGAAUGUGUGUGUACAUCGAGCACAGACGCCAUCCUUUCCAGAAGCAAAAGCAGUACACAGAGCAGUGUGGCAUGGCAGACCUCACAGAGCUUCGCUUGAACUACAACAUGUCCACACAGGGCCUGAUUCACACACUAGGACACACACCCCGCAUGGCCUGACAGCCAGUAAGCACCGUUCUUUCUCUUCAGACAGCCUUGGUCCAGGAAGGUUCUUGACUAUCUGGGCAUUUUCGGACACUGUCGCAUUAAAUGGUUACAACUUUCCUCAAAGAAAGCAAAUUACAGAACUCAGACCAGACCAGUCUUUCUCCUCCCUGCUACCCCACUCCCAGCAUAUUUUGAAUCAAAGAAGCUCUUCUUAGAAUGUCUGCUUUCAGGUCGUUUCACAUCCCACAGUCGGGUGGCAGUGAGUUCUUUCAGAUGCAGUUUCCCAGGUGUUGCUGCGUCUCCCCAGGGGUGUGGCUGGUGCUGGGGGGUGCAGCGUUUGGCUCCUACCCAGGAAUCUCUGCGACACCUAGUGUGGGAGCCAGGCACACUGCACAGACAGACGCGGGGCUGAGGUAUGCACCCUCCUAGCCGACCGAGAGGCAAGCAGAGGCGCACGAAAUGCAAGCGCAAGAGGAGCAACUUGUCCUGGGGUGCCCAGUUUCCACCUCCACCUACCUGGACAUGGAAGUGUCGACUGACAGUGAGGAUGGGUAGGGUUGCCUGAAUCCACCCGUGAUGGGAUAUACAGGCUGACCUUGCCUGAGGUCACAGAAGAAAGGAACCCAUCAAUGACAAAACAUGAGUUACCAACCAGCAAUAAGAGUUUGAUGAGGGGAGAAGAGGGAGGUAUUCAAAAAGAACCCCAUGGGGCUCAUUACAGAGCACAGCAUUUCUUCAGUUCUCCGAAGCUUCCCUUCUUACCCUCCACCCAACCCAAGCACCAUUUACCUUGAAGAAAAUCUCCCACCCUCAACUUGAAAAGCAAACCAGUCCAUGAAUUACCUUUUUACCCCUUCCUCUCUCCCAAUCCCACUAACGCUUUGAACAAAAUAAGACAUAUAAUAUGUUUACUGAAUAGAACAGAACCAUGAGAAUGGUGAAAUACUCCUUUCAGAAAUCUUUGAGAACUUCAGGGAAGGAAAGAGGGGAGAAAUUUAUAUAAAAAUGAACAAAUAUUUUAUUUUAUUUUUUUAAAUGAACAAAUAUUUUAAAAACACUGCACUCCCCCACCCCUUCAUAUACCUAUUCUAUAGUCAAGAAAUAAAAGACCAAUUCACUGGAAUUAUUCCCUCUCCACUCUGAGAACCCCAUCUCUGUUUUUCCCUACAUCUCACAUUUCUCAUUUACACAGUCUUUAUUUCCAGCUGCCACUCAACACAGAAUUCCUGCCCCUAAGUCGUUAAGUUCAGACAGAAUAAUUGAUGUAGGUUUGAAAGUGUAUGCAUAAUCAAUUAAACUCAAACAGUUGACUGGGAGAUUUAGUGCUAGAGAGAGAGAGACAGACAGACAGACAGUCAGACAGCUGGAAUUUCCAAGACAGGAUGACCCCUUCUUGCUGAAGAAGAGAUAACAUAAGGAAGUCAAGGUAAGGACUGGGGGAGUGAUAGGGGGCUUUGAGGACGUAAGGUCAGAUAAAGAAAAGAGAGGGUUCCUCUGCUCAAGUUGAAGCAGUGUUUCCAUGGAGUGAGCAGUGGGGAGGGAAGGAUGGAGAAGAAAUGGGAGUGGGAUGGGCGCACGCUGUGUGCUAACAAUAACACGAGAAAAAUAGGCUGCACUAUGUAAAAGUCUUCCUUCCAAAAACACAUUUCCUUUCCUUUACCUUUAUAAUUUAAAGAAUUUUGAAAACAGCAGUAAGAAUUUUUCUAGAUAUAAACAACAAAACAAUGAGUGUCUGGAUUCUGAAGAAAGGAAGCCCAAACAUCAGUUUUUCACUUGUCCGAACUCAAACUGGUGCUUACUUUAUUAACAUCCAAAAGAGGCUUUUGUAUUUUUGAAUUUUGAGUUGCCAUUUCCCUCACUUGCUCAUUUUAUAAGCAAAGACUGAUAUCCAAUGUGUCUAAGUUUGUUUCAAAAAUAAGUUGUUCGUAAAAAAGUAAACAAGAAGAACCAAACUGAGCCCUGUGUAUAGGCAUAGCAAAUGCCCAAAGCCACAAAUUGAAUCCGUAAGACUAUAAGCCUCAAAAUAAAUGCUACAGUCAUUUUCUACACAUAUUAGCAAAGGGAUUCAAUCCAUUUCAAAGUCUAUAUAUUUUUUAAUCCUUCAAAUUGAAAUGAAAUAAAGUUAGCACCUUGCUUGUUGAUGUGAAAUUUCUUCAACUCCACAAAUGUUAUCAUUCAUAAAGCUAAUUUCCAUGAAUGGAAAGAAGAGAGCACAUGCUCAAACGACUGACUGAAGGCUGCAGGAAGGAUCUUACCAGCCAAGAGGUGGGGUAAUCUGUCCAACACCACCUGGAGACAGGGGGUAAAAGGUAGGGAUCUCAGGAGCUGGAGGAUGUCUGGACAUGCCUGUUCAAAAGAACAAUGGAGAAGAGAGUUUUCAGAUUCACAGGACAUCAGACUACAAGAAUAAAAAGAGAAGCAAUAAAAUGCUUUAUACCAUUAAUUCUUAAGGUCUAGCAUGAAACACUGCUUAUAGGAUGCAUUUAACUGCGGUCAGUUUGUUAGCCUUUCUCAAGAUCUCAAAAUCAGAAAAAACAGGUCCUAAAACAGGACAUCUUGAGGAACUCCUUAAAGAGUAAAUAUGCUGCUAGUAAAACAGUAACCAUAGGAAGAUUUUUAAAUUACUUAGUUUGCCCUCAUUAUUCCACUUGGGUUAAGAAAAUGGUAGACAGUAGUUUUUGUAUAGAAUGGAAAAUGACAGCCUUCAUGAGUAGAUGGCCUGACAUGGUGCCCAAGGAUUAGGUAAAUUGCCACUUUCAUAUUUUCAUUGGCUCCCUUAUGGACACAUAGAUUUGGGAAAUGUGAUACCUCAGAGGAUCAAAGAUUAAUUAGGAAUCAUCUUCAGCCCCAUAAUGGUCACACUUGAUAUGAUUCAUUUGGUCUCUGCCACUUCAGCUCCAACUAAGCUCUUCAUCAAGUUGAGUCCUCUGGGCUCCAAGGUCAAGCUGUUCUGGAUUAGUUGUAUUCCACAGAAAAUGAGCAUGCCACCAAAUUGUUUCUUGAGCUCACACUCCCUGGGGCACAUUGCCCUAUAACUGUAAAAACCACCUAAAGAUUAUACCUAAUCCUAGUCCCAAAUGGCAUCUCUUUGUUUAUAUUUUUACCUUGGGUACAGAAAAGUAGGGGCACAUGCAUAAAAAUGCAAAAUAUAAAAACUUAGAUUCAGUGUAUUUGGGGAAAACUGAUUCUGAUUAGAAAAAAGCCACAAAAGUUUCUUUAUAUUGCUAAUCUGGCCUUAAAAGGCCAACUCCAUAUAUGAGCAUGCAUUUCCAGGUUUAACACCCAGAAUAUGCAUUCAGUGGCUGUAUACUGACCAAAAUGUGAAAUCAGGGGAGCAUAUGAAAGAUGUUCUUUAAUUAUUCUGCUUUUUUACUGUUUAAAAUGCCUAUGGGUUUUGUUUGGGUCUUAUGAGAUAUUAAAGGUCUUGAACCUAUGGGAAUGACUUAAUUAGUAUGGCCUUCAAAGUUGGUGUUAAUUCAACUCUGAAGUUAGAACCAACUAUUACUCAACUCUUACAGGAAGCAGAUAGGAAGAAGGUUUUUAAUUCUUCAAUAGAGAGCUUACAUGAGAUUAUCUCAUGUUUUUCUGUCUUUAAAAGAUUGUUUCAAAUCCCUGCCACCCCCCCCCCUGCCUUUUUGGCUAGAAAUAUCACUACUUUUGGGGCACAGUGGACUCCAAAUUUCAUAUUCUGGGACUUUUUUUGCCUUGGGUCUGGGGAGAUUUGAGCAGUAGGGAUGAAUCUAAGGGAACCUACAAGAAUGAUGAUUCUUGACAUAUCAGCAUCACUGGGCCAACCUGCUGCCUCCCCUAUCUUUGAGAUUCAGAAACCUCCCCAAACUCAGGGUCUGCAGGGGAACUGCUCAGUUUAAAAAAAAAAAAAAAAAAAAAAAAAAUCAGA